rnacentral:rRNA from 1 species
UACGGGAGGCAGCAGUGGGGAAUAUUGCACAAUGGGCGCAAGCCUGAUGCAGCCAUGCCGCGUGUAUGAAGAAGGCCUUCGGGUUGUAAAGUACUUUCAGUCGUGAGGAAGGUGUUAAGGUUAAUAACCUUAGCAAUUGACGUUAGCGACAGAAGAAGCACCGGCUAACUCCGUGCCAGCAGCCGCGGUAAUACGGAGGGUGCGAGCGUUAAUCGGAAUUACUGGGCGUAAAGGGCACGCAGGCGGUUAAUUAAGUUGGAUGUGAAAUCCCCGGGCUUAACCUGGGAAUGGCAUUCAAGACUGGUUAGCUAGAGUCUUGUAGAGGGGGUAGAAUUCCAUGUGUAGCGGUGAAAUGCGUAGAGAUGUGGAGGAAUACCGGUGGCGAAAGGCGGCCCCUGGACAAAGGACUGACGCUCAUGUGCGAAAAGCGUGGGGAGCAAAACAGGGAUUAGAUACC